GUCAAAAAAAUCGGAUUUGGGUCGGAUUUGCCUGCAGUGUGAACGUAGCCAGAGAUUCUUGUACGACUCAUAAGAUGGAGGCUGAAAAAGGAUAAAAACAUGGGAUCAGAGAAGAUGGAAAGAUUACUGUCAAGUGUGUAUGUGUGCUGCAUGUGCGCAUUACUGGCACGGAGCCUGACUGCUCCCCUCACCACAAGGAACUCAUUGACCUGAAUCAGUGCAGAGCCGCGCCCUCCUCGGGGCUGUUGCAGAAACCCAGGAAGCCUCUGGUGGCCAAACACCGGAACUGCAAUGUACAGAUGAUCCAGGGUUGGGCAACAUUAACCUCACGAAGAGCAAUAUUGACUUAAUUAAAGCAAUAAAACGGCGUAGUCUCAUAAAAAAUCGUUUUUUUUUAAUAUAGUGAAUGUAGUUAAAUGUUAACAAUGUUGCAGAUGUCUUUUUUUUUUAUCUUUUUAAGACAAUUCUGACCUUAAAGAAGAUUAAUGUAAAACAUAUCAGUUUUGAAAUAAAUGAGGGAUUUUAUGAUAAUUAAUGUUUAAAAGCUAUAAUAAUAUUUUAUUUAUAUAUAUUUAUAUAUUUAACCCACUGGUAGAAUUAUCUGCUGUUUAAAAUAAGCAAUAAUCCUACUAACACUCAAGUUUAAAAAAAGUGCAAAAUAUGACUUUUCUAUAUGAUUUGUUGCACAGUUACAGCAAAAUAUCUUUAAUAAAAAAUACAUCAUUCCUUA